GAGAGGAAGAUGUGAUCAGACAAAGACAUCACACUGCUGUGAGGUUAAAUUUGAUCAAGUGUUAAUCUUAUGUCAAACACUGUGAUGAAACACAAACAGAAAUGACAUUACAGUCUAUACAUCCUUUUGAAAGAAGGUAUGAUGGAAGUAAAGCCAGCAGGCCUCAUGGAAAACAACAAAAAAGUUCUUGGAUGAGUAAUGGGAUCCAUGUGGAACAUGUGUAGCUUUAAUAAGAGGAACCAAUAUUUCCUCUGCUGGUGUUGUGUGGCUGCCUGGAGGGGAAGUCGUUUCUAGCCCCGUAUAAACCCUGCAGUUAUUUGCAGCUCGACCUCAAGUAAACAAAUUCCUCCGUAAAACACUGGGAGCCGUGUCGACGUCUGCGAGGUGGGAAGACGCCCCUCCCUGACCCCACCCUCCACCGACACGCCAGUACGCUGGGAGCUAACGGACAACAUCUGAGUCCACACCAUGAAAGAGGGAGCAGUAAAGGAGGACCGUUUUCUGGAGAUGCUGCUUAAUUACAUAAAGGAAGACAACAUCUGGUGGGUUUAUAAUCAAAGCUUUAUCUGAUCUUUCAUUUUCCAGUGGAAAGUGAGUCACUAAGAACUUAACGCUGGAACAUCUGUCCUUGUUUCUGUACUGCAAACACACAUGAAGUCCCUGCUUUAGAGAAGAAGAUCGAUAAAGUAUUUCAUUGCCAUUUUUCAGGGUGCAGUACCACUUCAACUUAAUUAUAAAGUUCAGCUUCUUAAGUGAAGGUCUGCAGAUACUUUUUCCACUGACAUAAAAAGGGAUAAGUAGAACACUUUUCACACAUUCAAAAUCUGUUUAUUUUUUGGCUAAGAAUGAAUACACAAGGAACUUGACUUUGGAGACGUAUGCACUCAUAUACAAAGAGAAAGUAAACGGAGUAUAAAUCUAUGUAAAAAAACAACAAUAGAAGAACAAAACAAAGAUAUGUGAAACAUUUAAGCCAGUUUUCUAUUUUAGAUUUAUUUCAAACAUGUAAAAAAAAAUACAAAGCAUAAAACACAGUAAAAAAAAACAACAACAACAAAAAAAACAAUACAAUCUCGAUUUGUAAAGAAAAAGUCACAAACUGAAGUCAAUAAAUACAUGUUUGAAAAGUUUAAAAGUGUUGUGGUUUCAAACACUGGUCAGAAGUUCAUAAGAGGGUUGGCUCAGGGGAAGAAGCUAUGUUUGUGGUUUUGGUGUUUAGAAGUUCUAAACGCCGGCCUGAGGGGAGGAGUCUAAAAGGAUUGUGUGAGGGGUCUGUGGUGAUUAUGCUAGAGAGCACAGCAGUGAGGAACCAUCCAGGUGCAGUAUGAAUUAAAGCAGGUCAUACGUAUGUUGCACUCUCCAGUUCUUUUAUGUACAAAUUAAGUCUUUAUGUUUACCUAUGAUACAAAGGUUUAACGUACAGGACUGGGGAUCAUCAAUGAAUCUGUUUAAUUUCAUAUGUGGUUCUCCGUCCAUCCAUCUUCAGAAUUCACUGAAUCUCUUUCAUGGGGCUACCAGAGCCUGUCCUGGUGGGCUACACUCUGAACAGGUCACCAGUAUGUUGCAAGGCAACAAACUCACACUUAGAUACAAUUUAGAGUCACAUAUUAACCUAUCAAGGCAUGUUUUUGUACCGGAGUGCCCAGAGAAAACCCCUACUCAUCACGAUGGGAACAUGCAUGUCCGAGCCACAGAGUGGAACCAGGCCCUUCUUAUGGAGAGAAAAUAGACUCACUCCGAUUUAUGCACACGUAAUUCUCGAUUUGUGUGUAACUCUGGAUUUGUGCGUGGGUAAAUCUUGACUUGUAACUCAUGUAAUACAUUUUGUGAAUAAGAACAUCCAUCCAUCCAUCCAUCUCCUUUGAAUAAGAACAAAAUUACAAAAUAAAAAAAAAUACAAUUUACACAUGCAAAGCUCAAAAUUACAACACCUUAAAACUAACUAUGCACACAAAUCUUAAAAAAAUACGCAUGAGUCGUUUGUUACACACAGACAAGACUGCAUUUACACACAAAUCUGAUAUGAGACUCUUUUCACAUCUCCAAAAUUUGUGCGUCAGUAUGUGUUUAAAUGCUGCUGGGUCAUCAGAGUUUUCUUAUCAGCCACUUUGAACUUAGAUUGUGAAUAUUAUCUGGUGAAAACAUGACAUUUUCCCACUUUCUUAAACAGAUAUGAUCCCAUAAUUACUAUAAAAUAAGUCUAAAAAUGUGUUUUUAAAACACUCAACAUUAAAGUUUCUCUAUUCUCUAAAGUUUCUUGGCUGGGCUUUUCCUGCAGCACCUUCAGCGUGGGACUCUUCCCUGAGCAGGCGGCGUGAGGUCCUCCUCGACAUCCAGAGAGCGGACAGAGUUGAUCAGCCUUACGUCCCGCUCUGCUUCCUUGGUGUGGAGAUUGAGCUUGCGCUGUUUGCUUCCUCUGUAUACCAGGAGCGGUUCUGCCUUGAGGGAGCGAUGAGUCGAUCAGCUCUACGCCCGGCUCUCCAAGGAAAGCAUGCAGUCCAAGAGUCCGCUCCGCUUCUCCACACAUUACGGAAGCACAAAUCUAAAGUUACGCACAAAUCAAGGAUUACGCAUGCAAAAAUUGGAGUGAGUCUAUUUUCUCUCCAUACAUUCUCGUUGUGCGUGGAGAGCUUUAACCACUCCACCAUCAUGCAGCCACAUGCGAUAUUUUGACUGAAGAAAUUAAGAUUAUUAAACCCUUUAAAAUUAUUUUUGGGGACUUUGAAUGACAUGUUUCAUAAAACUGGUGACAGACUUAAAAGAAGGGGAAAUUUCAUUAAUAGAAUAUUACAGAAAAAAAUGAAAAUAAAAGAAAA